rnacentral:ncRNA from 1 species
UAAUUUCUUAAUGAAUUAAUUAAAUUAUUUAAUGCAGUAAUGAAUAUUAAAUAAUAAAGGGGAUUUUGAUUUAGUUAUUUUUAAUAGUGUUGAUUAAAUAUGUGCCAGCAGUCGCGGUUAUACAUAAGACACAUAUAAGUAUUUUUAGUUAUAUAGUUUAUUUAUUUUAUUUAAUUUAAUUUGAUAAUUUUUGGGUAAAAUUUAAAUUUUUGUUUUUUUUUUAUAUUGUAUUAAAUGAGGCUGUGAAAUCUAAAUUAUUUAAACUAGGAUUAGAUACCCUAUUAUUUUGGAUUUAAAAGUUUAAACUUGAGUAGUAUUAGAUAUGGUCUUGAAACUUAAAGAAUUUGGCGGUAUUUUAGUCUAGUUAGAGGAAUCUGUUCCAUUAUCGAUAAUCCACGUUGAACCUUACUUAAUAUAAUUUAAUAUGUAUACCGCCGUUUAUUUGAAGAUCUUUUUAGGGUUAAUUUUCUUUAAAUUUUAAUUAAUUUUAUUUCAGGUCAAGGUGCAGUUGAUAAUUGAGUGGUGAUGGAUUACAUUAUUUAUAAAAUAAACGAAUUAAAAUUUGAAAUUAUUUUAUGAAGGAGGAUUUAAUAGUAAUUAAUAAUAAGAAUUAUUUUUGUGAUUUUAGCUCUAAAAUGUGUACACAUCGCCCGUCACUCUCGUUAUUAAGAUGAGAUAAGUCGUAACAAAGUAGGUGUACCGGAAGGUGUAGCUAGAUUGAU